rnacentral:rRNA from 1 species
UAACGCGUGGGAAUCUGCCCAGGAGUGGGGGAUAACCCGGCGAAAGCCGGGCUAAUACCCCAUACGUCCUGAGGGAGAAAGAUUUAUCGCUCUAGGAGGGGCCCGCGUCGGAUUAGCUAGUUGGUGAGGUAACGGCUCACCAAGGCGACGAUCCGUAGCUGGUCUGAGAGGAUGAUCAGCCACACUGGGGCUGAGACACGGCCCAGACUCCUACGGGGGGGAGCAGUGGGGAAUAUUGGACAAUGGGGGCAACCCUGAUCCAGCAAUGCCGCGUGAGUGGUGAAGGCCUUAGGGUUGU